GACGAACGCUGGCGGCGUGCCUAAUACAUGCAAGUCGAACGCUGAAGGAGGAGCUUGCUUCUCUGGAUGAGUUGCGAACGGGUGAGUAACGCGUAGGUAACCUGCCUGGUAGCGGGGGAUAACUAUUGGAAACGAUAGCUAAUACCGCAUAAUAUUGACUAUUGCAUGAUAGUCAGUUGAAAGGUGCAACUGCACCACUACCAGAUGGACCUGCGUUGUAUUAGCUAGUUGGUGGGGUAACGGCUCACCAAGGCGACGAUACAUAGCCGACCUGAGAGGGUGAUCGGCCACACUGGGACUGAGACACGGCCCAGACUCCUACGGGAGGGAGCAGGAGGGAAUCUUCGGCAAGGGACGGAAGUCUGACCGAGCAACGCCGCGGGAGUGAAGAAGGUUUUCGGAUCGUAAAGAUCUGUUGUAAGAGAAGAACGAGUGUGAGAGUGGAAAGCUCACACUGUGACGGUAGCUUACCAGAAAGGGACGGCUAACUACGUG
rnacentral:rRNA from 1 species